rnacentral:rRNA from 1 species
GACGAACGCUGGCGGCGUGCUUAACACAUGCAAGUCGAACGGAAAGGCCCUGCUUUUGUGGGGUGCUCGAGUGGCGAACGGGUGAGUAACACGUGAGUAACUUGCCCUUGACUUUGGGAUAACUUCAGGAAACUGGGGCUAAUACCGGAUAGGAGCUCCUGCUGCAUGGUGGGGGUUGGAAAGUUUCGGCGGUUGGGGAUGGACUCGCGGCUUAUCAGCUUGUUGGUGGGGUAGUGGCUUACCAAGGCUUUGACGGGUAGCCGGCCUGAGAGGGUGACCGGCCACAGUGGGACUGAGCUACAGCACAGACUACUACGGAGGGCAGCAGUGGGGAAUAUUGCACGAUGGGCGGAAGCCUGAUGCAGCAACGCCGCGUGCGGGAUGACGGCCUUCGGGUUGUAGACCGCUUUCGCCUGUGACGAAGCGUGAGUGACGGUAAUGGGUAAAGAAGCACCGGCUAACUACGUG